UCUAUUUUACAGCGGAAGUGUCAACUUAUUGGAGGAAAUCUUGUAAAAAUUGAUGGCUCAUCUGAAAACACUUGGUUGACUUCCAAAAUCAACGGAGUAGCAACCAGCUAUUAUUGGAUUGGACUAAUCGAUCUAAUAGAAGACGAAUUUCGAUGGACCAUUGACCAGGAAAUUUUAAGCUAUAAGAACUUUGAAAGCUCACAACCAAAUAACGAAGGAAAUGAAGAUUGUGUUGUUUUGAACUACAGUUCAGGAUCAUGGUACGACAAAACUUGUGGAUAUCAAUAUAAAUACAUAUGUGAAAAUGACUUCUGUUAUUGAAGAUAAGAAGUUGAAUUAUAAACAACGACAAAGGAAAAUCUACGAUAUAUACCAAUAUAGUAAAACGCUCGAAUUAAAAGUGUCUGUUUGAUUUACUAUGAACAGUCACUUAAGGGACA